rnacentral:ncRNA from 1 species
GAUGGGAAGACCCAUCGAGCCCUAUACAGAAAAAGAUAGACAUGAAAUCAGGGGCUAGGCUCGGAUAGUAUCAUGAUACGUCGAUGUCUAAGCAUCACAUCCUGGGGUUGAAGAAGGUCCCGAGGGCUCCGAGUUGUUCGCCGAUGAAUGUGGUACGUGAGUUGGGUGUGAACCUCGUGAGACUGUCGGUUCCUAUC